GUCAGUCAAAAAGUACAAGCCCAUAUAUAUCUGAUAAUAUGGUUCAGAUGUUUCUACGAAAUUCCGUAAAAAUUUCGCUAUGGGUAAAUCAAUGGUGAUG
rnacentral:ncRNA from 2 species